rnacentral:rRNA from 1 species
UACGUAGGGUGCGAGCGUUGUCCGGAAUUAUUGGGCGUAAAGAGCUCGUAGGCGGUCUGUCGCGUCGAUCGUGAAAACUUGGGGCUUAACCCUGAGCUUGCGGUCGAUACGGGCAUGACUGGAGUUCGGCAGGGGAGACUGGAAUUCCUGGUGUAGCGGUGAAAUGCGCAGAUAUCAGGAGGAACACCGGUGGCGAAGGCGGGUCUCUGGGCCGUAACUGACGCUGAGGAGCGAAAGCCAGGGGAGCAAACGGG